rnacentral:rRNA from 1 species
AUGCCUAACACAUGCAAGUCGAACGAUGCUUUCGGGCAUAGUGGCGCACGGGUGCGUAACGCGUGGGAAUCUGCCCCUUGGUUCGGAAUAACCGUUGGAAACGACGGCUAAUACCGGAUGACGACGUAAGUCCAAAGAUUUAUCGCCGAGGGAUGAGCCCGCGUAGGAUUAGCUAGUUGGUGUGGUAAAGGCGCACCAAGGCGACGAUCCUUAGCUGGUCUGAGAGGAUGAUCAGCCACACUGGGACUGAGACACGGCCCAGACUCCUACGGGAGGCAGCAGUGGGGAAUAUUGGACAAUGGGCGAAAGCCUGAUCCAGCAAUGCCGCGUGAGUGAUGAAGGCCUUAGGGUUGUAAAGCUCUUUUACCCGGGAUGAUAAUGACAGUACCGGGAGAAUAGGCUCCGGCUAACUCCGUGCCAGCAGCCGCGGUAAUACGGAGGGAGCUAGCGUUGUUCGGAAUUACUGGGCGUAAAGCGCACGUAGGCGGCUUUGUAAGUUAGAGGUGAAAGCCUGGAGCUCAACUCCAGAAUUGCCUUUAAGACUGCAUCGCUUGAAUCCAGGAGAGGUGAGUGGAAUUCCGAGUGUAGAGGUGAAAUUCGUAGAUAUUCGGAAGAACACCAGUGGCGAAAGCGGCUCACUGGACUGGUAUUGACGCUGAGUGCGAAAGCGUGGGGAGCAAACAGNAUUAGAUACCCUGGUAGUCCACGCCGUAANCGAUGAUANCUAGCUGUCCGGGGACUUGGUCUUUGGGUGGCGCAGCUAACGCAUUAAGUUAUCCGCCUGGGGAGUACGGCCGCAAGGUUAAAACUCAAAUGAAUUGACGGGGGCCUGCACAAGCGGUGGAGCAUGUGGUUUAAUUCGAAGCAACGCGCAGAACCUUACCAGCGUUUGACAUGUCCGGACGAUUUCGGGAGACCGAUCUCUUCCCUUCGGGGACUGGAACACAGGUGCUGCAUGGCUGUCGUCAGCUCGUGUCGUGAGAUGUUGGGUUAAGUCCCGCAACGAGCGCAACCCUCGCCUUUAGUUACCAUCAUUUAGUUGGGGACUCUAAAGGAACCGCCGGUGAUAAGCCGGAGGAAGGUGGGGAUGACGUCAAGUCCUCAUGGCCCUUACGCGCUGGGCUACACACGUGCUACAAUGGCGGUGACAGUGGGCAGCAAUCCUGCAAGGGUGAGCUAAUCUCCAAAAGCCGUCUCAGUUCGGAUUGCACUCUGCAACUCGAGUGCAUGAAGGCGGAAUCGCUAGUAAUCGCGGAUCAGCAUGCCGCGGUGAAUACGUUCCCAGGCCUUGUACACACCGCCCGUCACACCAUGGGAGUUGGGUUCACCCGAAGGCGUUGCGCUAACUCAGCAAUGAGAGGCAGGCGACCACGGUGGGCUUAGCGACUGGGGUGAAGUCGUAACAAGGUA